rnacentral:rRNA from 1 species
GAUGCAGCGACGCCGCGUGAGGGAUGGAGGCCUUCGGGUUGUGAACCUCUUUCGCUCAUGGUCAGCCGCAACUGUGGGUUGUGGUGAGGGUAGUGGGUAAAGAAGCGCCGGCUAACUACGUGCCAGCAGCCGCGGUAAUACGUAGGGCGCGAGCGUUGUCCGGAAUUAUUGGGCGUAAAGGGCUUGUAGGCGGUUGGUCGCGUCUGCCGUGAAAUCCUCUGGCUUAACUGGGGGCGUGCGGUGGGUACGGGCUGACUUGAGUGCGGUAGGGGAGACUGGAACUCCUGGUGUAGCGGUGGAAUGCGCAGAUAUCAGGAAGAACACCGGUGGCGAAGGCGGGUCUCUGGGCCGUUACUGACGCUGAGGAGCGAAAGCGUGGGGAGCGAACA